rnacentral:rRNA from 1 species
UCCGAGAAGUUGACAAAGGGGAACUUCCUCUUGUGGAAAGCUCAGGUGAUGCCCGGCCUGCGAGGAGCGCAGGUUACAGGGCUUCUCGAUGGAAGCGAAGCCGCGCCCCCAACAACGGUGGAGCAGCAGCAGUCGGACAAGACAACAGCUGUAGUACCAAAUCCACUGUACGGGCCAUGGUUGUCGAAGGAUCAACAGGUCCUAAGCUAUCUGUUGAAUUCACUAUCCAAGGAGAUCCUUGCUCACGUCAUUGGUAAGGAAAACAUAUAUGAUCUAUGGACUGCAAUUACUACUAUCUUUGCAUCGCAGUCACAAUCCAGAAUUACGAAUCUACGGAUCGCCAUUGCCAACACGAAGAAGGGCACCAUGUCCGGCAGCACCUACAUCGCCAAGAUGAAGAACCUCGGGGAUGAGCUUGCAGCAGCAGGUCGCCCGGUUAGUGACCCUGAGAUGGUGGACUACGUUCUUGCGGGCCUUGACCGAGACUAUGAUCCGGUUGUAGCAGCAAUUGGCGCUGUCAAAUCUGCCAUCACCGUGGAUGAUCUCUUCGCCCAGAUUUCUGCUUUUGAUCAG